UACGGAAGGCAGCAGUGGGGAAUAUUGCACAAUGGGCGCAAGCCUGAUGCAGCCAUGCCGCGUGUAUGAAGAAGGCCUUCGGGUUGUAAAGUACUUUCAGUCGUGAGGAAGGUGUUAAGGUUAAUAACCUUAGCAAUUGACGUUAGCGACAGAAGAAGCACCGGCUAACUCCGUGCCAGCAGCCGCGGUAAUACGGAGGGCGCGAGCGUUAAUCGGAAUUACUGGGCGUAAAGGGCACGCAGGCGGUUAAUUAAGUUGGAUGUGAAAUCCCCGGGCUUAACCUGGGAAUGGCAUUCAAGACUGGUUAGCUAGAGUCUUGUAGAGGGGGUAGAAUUCCAUGUGUAGCGGUGAAAUGCGUAGAGAUGUGGAGGAAUACCGGUGGCGAAGGCGGCCCCUGGACAAAGACUGACGCUCAUGUGCGAAAGCGUGGGGAGCGAAAC
rnacentral:rRNA from 1 species